GGUCCAGCUGUCCCCAGCGGGAUGGUGCCACUGUGCCAGGUUGAAGUAUUGUAUUUUGCAAAAAGUGCUGAAAUAACAGGAGUUCGUUCAGAGACCAUUUCUGUGCUGCAAGAAAUAAAAGCACUGCAGCCGUGGAAGGAGAUAGAAACUUGACAUCCUGGAUUGGCUGAUGGAGAAAUCAGAUACUAUUUGCUGUUCAUCAAGAAUAUGACAAGCUUGGAGAUCAGCUCCUCCGCUUCAACCAGGAGACGAAAUUGCUGUUAUUCCCCAUUAGUGGAGGAUAGUGCUUUUGAGUCAUCUAGGAAAGACAUGGAUGAAGUUGAAGAGAAAUCUAAAGAGGUUAUAAACGUUACUACCGAGAAACUUCCAGUAGAUGAAGUCCCACAGUUGGUGAUUUCUCCGCUCUUUGGUGCAGUACCCCUAUUUGUAGGGACUACAAGAAAUAACUUUGAAGGGAAAAAAGUCAUUAGCUUAGAAUAUGAAGCAUAUCUACCCAUGGUGGAAAAUGAAGUCAAAAAGAUUUGUAGUGACAUCAGGCAGAAAUGGCCAGUCAAACACAUAGCAGUGUUCCAUGGACUUGGCCUGGUUCCAGGGUCAGAAGCAAGCAUAAUCAGUGCUGUGUCCUCAGCCCACAGAGCUGCAUCUCUUGAAGCUGUGAGCUAUGCCAUUGAUACUUUAAAAGCCAAGGUGCCCAUAUGGAAAAAGGAAAUAUACGAAGAGUCAUCAUCUUGGAAAGGAAACAUAGAGUGCUUUGGGGCAUCCAACAAUGAACCACUUAGUUUUUAGAGCCUGCAAUCUUAACUUUGUUCAACCAUUAUCAUUGAUCACAUUUUGAUUUUUUUCUCUCCACAUGAGGAUAGUUUACUGAAGCGCAAUCUCUUACGUUAUACUAAUGGGACAAAAGGGAGAAAAAGGAAGCAAGAUAAAUGGGUAUGUAGGAUGAAGGGUUAUUUAAAAUGGAACUAAAGAUAGAAGGAGGACUGCAGGAAAGAGAUGGAAUAAUUUAAACGUGAGGAAAGAUGUCCGUGGUAGACAUGUCCUUCCAUGACUAAUUUCUAAUUAUAACUCAAACUCACAUUGAAGUAUGGGCCCUCAGUGACUUUAACUGACUCAGAAAGAUACUCCGCCAGCAACCCCACCUCACCACCCCCGUCCCAGUUCAGGGAUAGCAUUGUUAUCAAGGAUGCAUGACAGCAAUGUUGGCGGAACUGGAAAGUAUUAAAAAAUCAUUGUCAGACCGUCUUGAUAUUAUAUAUUUUCAGAAAUAUAUUAAAAAUAGUAAACUAAAACCCAUGAUUUCAAAAGUU